rnacentral:rRNA from 1 species
UACGUAGGGGGCAAGCGUUGUCCGGGUUUAUUGGGCGUAAAGAGCGUGUAGGCGGUUUGGUAGGUCCGCUGUGAAAACUCGAGGCUCAACCUCGAGACGCCGGUGGAAACCAUCAGACUAGAGUCCGGAAGAGGAGAGUGGAAUUCCUGGUGUAGCGGUGAAAUGCGCAGAUAUCAGGAAGAACACCCGUGGCUAAGGCGGCUCUCUAGUACGGUACUGACGCUGAGACGCGAAAGCGUGGGGAGCGAACAGG